ensembl:lincRNA
GAAGUUGUGCAGAGUUGCGUAGCAGGUGUUUCCACUUCGCGCAGGGGCUUAGUGGGCAAAGCCGGGUCCUGCCCGGACCCUGGACCCAUGGAAGGUGCACACCUUCCAGGGACAGCCCUGUUUGCCCUCGACUCUUCUUGCUUCGCGCUCGUCCCCAGCCAGCCCAGCGCGCCCGGAGGCCGCAGCUCGCCCGGCUCGGCCCGCCGUCCUCCCUGGAGGCUCCACCUGCCGCUCCCUAGGCCGGGCCCAUCUGGAGUUCCCUGCGGAACCAGAGACGGUCCUCCUUCGCCUUGUCAAUCACCCCUGAAUCUGGAACGCUGAAGGAAUAGAAAAUAGGCGGAAAAGAAGAUGGAAGAAUCUAGAGGAAAGGGGACUUUUAUAUGGGGAAAGAGCAAACAGCCGACCAAAAAAAAAAAAAAAAAAAAAACCCACAUGAUUUGACUUCAUCCUUUUCAAAGGAAAAGAAAGAAAAAUAGAGACGUUUCCGGGAGUGGGACGAUACGUGUUGAUUGAUGUGGGGGUUAUACAAGGAGGCUAAAAUGAGGAAAUGGGGGCAGAUAGUUUGCAAUGUGACAAUCAACACCCCCCCACCUCUGAAUCAAGAGGGACCUUGUUUUCUUUCCCAGAGAAUAGACAAGUGCAGGAGCUGGUGCCAGCCACGGGGUUUCAGCCUGUAGGCUAGUUCGGGGAAAACAUCCCCUAACUCGCUUCAAGGAGAACACCAAGUUCACGAGCUCCAAGCCAAGGAGUGACCCGGGGACACUCCUUCCCCUGACCAGGGGGUGGCAGGGCGGGAGAGCCCUGUGACCUGGCGACCAUCUCUGAGGCUGAACCCGGUCCCGGGCUCCCUGCUCUCUCCACGCACCUCGCCAGCUCCUUCCAACUUGCAGGGAACAAAGUCCGGGGAGAGGCAGGUGGGGGCGGCCUGGCCAAGGAGCUCCCCAUCACUCCCCGAGGUCGUGGGUGGGGGGCUGCGCGGCCCAGCGGCAUGCAGGUCCGCCCGUGGCACCCAAACCCCGAGAGAGCCAGAACUUGCCGGGCUGCCUGGGCCCGGCCCACUUUCCCAGGCGCUCUGGGGUCCGGGGAGAAAGUCCCGGAACCACCCGGGCCACCAGUACCCGCUGCUCCGGCAUCUCGGAGGAGGCAUCGCCGCCAGGCACCACGCAGCUUCACCAACUCGGGGUGGCUCCUUUCUCCCCAACAGCCCCCGGCGGGUGCCGAGAAAAAGAGGCAUUUCGUUUCAGCCCGAGUGAGGGGGAAGGAGGGCGGAGGUGGGGCGCGGGAGAUGAGGGUGGGCAGAGGGCGAUGCAAGCUGCCUGCCGGCAUCGCGAUCGCGGGGCGUCGCGGUGGAGAGCCACCGGCGGAGGCCGGCCCCUCGGCACGCUACCCGCCUCCGAACCGACCCCGGGCUCGCAAGCCGGGCCUCGGAGGGUUCGCACAUCGCCCGGGCACCCGGCGAGCCCGCCUUACCUUGGGCUGCAGUGAGGAACCCCGCGCACAGCGCCAGCAGCGCCAGAAGCAGCGACUCGAAUUUCCCCCACGCAGUCAUGUCUGCAGAUAUUCCACACGCGCACGACAGCGAUGGCCCUUCUCGGACGCGCCCGGCUCCUCCGAGGCACAGCAGGGCUACGGACGGAGCCAGAGAACCACCCGAGGGCGAGGCGAGCUGGGGCGAGAUCCCGGUCUCCGGACCGGCCGCGCAUCCGACGCUUCCCGCAGAGAAAGCCACAGUCCCUUGGUCUCUUAUCUCAUCUGAGGUUCCCUGCCUGGGUUCUGAAAGCCCCUCCAGAGCACUCUCGCAUCCAUCAGGUAAUCAGGCUAUAGAUGAAGCCUAUUCUUAGGUUCCUAGAGGCUUUUUCCCCUUGUGAUUUUUAAAUGACUGUGAAAGUCUUGAUUUGUAUCUAACUCAAAUGCCAGAUAUUUAGAGCCAUAUUAACCAAAUGGGAUUAAAGGGAGUGAGUUACCCUAGGGAAUUCACACCAGACAGCUUUGUGACCACAUGUCUGUGUUGGCCUGCGGGGCCAGGAGCACUUGGGCACUGAAUUUUUACAAUUUGCUUAUUUUUUUCCCUCCAUUUUCCAUCUAGGCAUACUGCUCUCCAUGGCCUCGGGACUCAGGCUGAGCAGCAUCAGAAACAUCAGUGGCACCAGGGAUGAGAGCUGAGCAGAGGAAUCAAUAAAGGCAAAGAGGGUCUGACGUACUGGGAUUGAUAAAGACACCCCUAACCUUGUGUAAUGACUCAGGUGAAGAGUGGACAACACAGACAUCUGGAAAGUGCUGUAACUGAAGAGGGAGAAUGUUUUUCUUUUGUUUCUUCUUCAGGUGAACCAUGCCUGAGAAGGGGACAGAAUAUAUGAAUAGGGUACUUGAGACAAAAUUAUAAAUGAAAAGCUUUGCUCACGUGAGAAUGCUAAUUAGCCAGAAAUACAUGUGUUGCGUGGAUGGAUGUCUCUGAGAGUGCGGUGCGUUGCUGUGAUUGCUAAAUGGGACAUCUUUUGACUCUGUUAAUGGCAUGUACCAAAACCUGAUGAUGACCAGGGUACUGGGAGAACCUCUCUCCUUCACAGAGGGGUGGGGAUGGCAUCACAUGAUUCUGGUUUCCCUAAAGGCAAUGCCCAUCUUAGGAGAGCAAGAAGGAUGGGAGGGAGACGGGUGAAGGGAAAGAAAGGAGUAAAAUGAUCACUUCCUGUUUGCACAACUCUUUAUGCUGAAUCUUGUUUCUAUCAUAAGAUUAUCACUGCCCGCCUCCCCACCCAAUGAUGAGCAAGCAAAGCUUUAAGAAAUGAAGUCAUUUGUAGGAGGUCAUAUCUCACUCAGGACCGGAUGAUAUUAUCAAGGCUGUUGCUGUUUUGCUUUGCCAUAUCAACAUUUAAAACCCUCCUCGCUGCCCCUCCCUCACGAAGGAGCUUACACUUCCCUUCCUGGUCUCCACGCUCCCGGUACCUCUGCGCUGGUUUAUGAAGAAACUGAGCCAGGCAUGUAGAAAGCACUCCUCCCAGAAACACCAGAACACAGUCUUGCUGGGAGCCUCCUCCAGGACAGACCAUUUGCACUGAAAGAAGAUUCUGUGACCCUGUGUGACUGUUUAUUCGUGUAAGUUUUAAUUUUUUAAACUAUUCUCAUUGGCUGGCUUAAAAUAAGCUGAGCACGUUCCCCUGUUUUUCUAAUAAAAUAAUACCUUUAACUAUGUGUAUAUGUGUGUGUGUGUGUACACUAAUAUACAUAUACACACAUAUACAUACACACAUGGGGAAUACUUCCCCUUUUGUUAAUGACUUAGAAGAGUGGCAUUAGGAUGUAGGAAAUUAAAAAGUGUCAAGUAAGUCUAAGUCUAGAGAUGAACCAUGCUGUAAAUGAUCCAUUGGGAAAGGAGAGAAUUAGACCCUGUCUCCUUUCACUAGCGGGAAGCUGAAUAAAAGGAUGCAGACUGAGGGGUUCGUCGUGCGUGGGAAUGCAGUGGAAGACCUGUUGGGGUGAAGACCCCCAGCCCCAGAGUUUCUGAUUCAGCCUAUCCAGGAUGGGGCCCAAGAAUUGCCUUUCCACCAGGUCUCCAGAUGAUGCAUGCAUGCCGGGACUGUUCUCUGAGAACAGCACAGCAAACAGGGUGGACUUUGAGUUAAAAUAGUGGCUUUGUAUCCUGUAUCUGACUUUCUGAGCAGGGGAUCUCUUUUUUAAAAAAAAGAAAGAAAAAAAAACCACUUAAUUUGCAUAUGUUUGCUUCUCAGAAAAUAUGUAAAAUGCUAUUUACCCAAUAGACUUGGAGAAAGCAACAAUAUAAGCACAGUGGCUGAUGUAUACAAAAUGCUUAAAAAUAUCAUUUCCUCUUCUCUCCCUUCAGUCCCUGAAGGAGGAGAGAAGGCACCCAGAUGGAGAAAGGCUCUCCAUCUGUUCGGAUCCGUAUUUUAGGAGUGGCAAGCUGGAUUUGGG